CUUAUUAUUGCUCUUUAAUACAGGCAAUAAAGCAGAAGCAUAACCGACUUGUACAUAGCCACCCAUAAAAGGUACACUCCCCCCUUGUUUCUUCCUCAAAGCUCUACGCGAUUGGACAUCCCCUUGGAGUAAAGCUCGAAUUACCGCAAAGCUCAAAGGUCGGCACCGAAGAUAACAACUCGGCGUCGAUUCCCA